GUGAGAUGUAUACUCUCUGCAUAACAGAGCUGAGAACAGGGGGACUUCUACAUUGUGCUCCGGAGAUCUCAGGAGGUUUGCCUGCUCAGGUUGGGACAAGCAGUGUGGGAAAUACUCCACCCGUCUCUCUGAAGUACCAUCUCCACCCUUAGCAGAGGCCUCAGGACUGCUUCAGGAGCAGGAGAAAAAUAUAGCAGCCCAACAGUGUCCUGAUGCUGAGAUCCACCUCCAACCUCAGCCAGCCCCA